UACGAAGGGGGCUAGCGUUGCUCGGAAUUACUGGGCGUAAAGCGCACGUAGGCGGCUCUUUAAGUCGGGGGUGAAAUCCUGGAGCUCAACUCCAGAACUGCCUUCGAUACUGAAGAGCUUGAGUCCGGGAGAGGUGAGUGGAACUGCGAGUGUAGAGGUGAAAUUCGUAGAUAUUCGCAAGAACACCAGUGGCGAAAGCGGCUCACUGGCCCGGUACUGACGCUGAGGUGCGAAAGCGUGGGGAGCAAACAGG
rnacentral:rRNA from 1 species